rnacentral:lncRNA from 1 species
UUUACAUAAAUAAGGCCGUUAGUUUUCUCGUUUGAAUUGUUUUACAUUGUCUUAUCGGGGCCUUUUAUAGCUCACUAUGCGGUAUGAGCUUUGCUCAUUGUUGAAGGCCGUACGGUGACCUAUAGUUGUUAAUGUCUGUGUUAUUUUGGUCUUUUGUGGAUAGUUGUCUCAUUGACAAUCAUACCACAUCUUCUUUUUUAUAAGAGGACAGAUUAUUCAUUUUCU